UUCUUCAAAGGCUGGCGCUUGGGGGCUGAGUGAACUGAGCUGAACUGGCGUGAGCUGGAGCUUGUGUUUGUUGCGGAAGUCUUCACCAGGAGUCUGAGCAACCUGGCUCUGAUACCAUAUGAGGUUUUCAGAGUACCAGUACUUGAGUGAUGUAAGAACAGAUGAGAGAUUGAUGUAUGAUGAAGUAUGAAGAAUAGAAAUGAGUUUAAGAGAAUCAAAGAGAGUAUGGGAGAGACUGAGAGACUAGGAACGUGUAUGGGAGAUUAGAGAGAGACUUAGUAACAAGAUUAAGAACCAAGAACAAGUUUUAUGAAGAAGAGAGACUCUCUCAGCUUACAUCAUCAAAUCGCAUACAAGAGGCUUUUAUAUGCCUUUACAUGUCACAAAGACUUAACCUAAAUCCUAAGGACAAGAAUACAAGAUAGAUUGAAUGGCUAGGAUGAGAGAAGAGUGGUCUUUGAUGUUCUGGUGAUAGCUGGCGACUUUAGACUGAAUGGAGAGCUCAGAUUGCUUCAUUUGAAUGAAGGGAGGAGAUUGGUCUUGCUGUAAAGGUAAAGCACCUUUACCUUUCCAGCUUUGCACAUACAGCUCACCCUGAUCCCUUUGGUAUAUUCCCUUUCCCUCUCACACUUCAACGGUCACUAUAGGAAAGGAUAGAAUCAGAGUGAACCGCCCUCACAUUGCACAUCUUGAUUUGGGCUGAACCGGAUGACUUGGGCGUGUGGAGUGGCCGUACGGUUGAUGGUACGGACCUCCUGUCCGUACCACUAUCCCUAACUAUGCAAAUUGCCUUAUCUCCUUCUUGACUGAUCCCAAACACCUUCAUGAUCCACCCUAGACCGUACAAGGCCGUACUGAACGCCCUAUCUUUGCACCACACUUCCAUCUUCUCUCUAACUCCUUCACAGCCUUCACAUGAUCAGUCUAAGUCUUUCCUAGACUUAACUUCACAAGAUAACUACUUCAGAACACCUCUGAAGCUUCAUUGAACUCUUCUGGACAUCUUCUAGAGCUUGCCCUAUUGUUGUACAAGCUCUAUCUUCUCUUCAGUUCAACACUCCCCCUCAAGCUUGACUUUAGGAGAUCCUAAGCCAAGCUUGGAACUCUGAAGAGUCUCCCUCAUUAAAAACCUUACAAGGAAAACCCAUUGGGACAAAACCUUGCAAGGGAAAAAGAGUAGAGCUCUCCAAAGCCUAGGGAUUGGCCAGUGAACUCUUGUGCCUUAGAACCAGUGUGGUUGGACACAAGAAGUUCUGGAUCACGGCCUAAACUGGUGCAGCAACUCCACAAGACUUUGCGCACUCAACAACUCAGCUUCACUUCUUCAUGGAACUGGUUUGAGGUCUCCCCCUCUCAACUGACUUCACAGCCUUCUUAGAGAAGCUAGGACACGACCAGAUCAUCUUCACAACACUAGUGAGGCUGAUCAACACUUCACACACGGCUUGCCCUCUUCAUAGAACUGGUUUGGAUCUCCCCCUCUCAACCGACUUCACAGCCUUCUUAGAGAAGCUAGGAAAUGACCAGGUUCUUAUUUGAUGAGGCUCAAGGACUUGUACCUGAUACAUUAUCCCAAAGGUGCAUCAGUACUUAUCAAGAAACAUCACACAAUCUAUUCAAUCAUUUUAAGUAUCAUUUCUAGACUUUAGAAUUGAAAUGAUGAAUGUAUUGAAUUGAAUUGAGCUUAGGACACUUCCCUUUUGUUUAGAUGAGUUCCCACUCGGCCAUUGCACCAUCUCCAUGGCAUCACCAGCUUCUUGGAAAGGCAGAAUGGAUUCAUCAGUUUCUCAUCAAUCACUUCACCAUAGAAGCCGCUUUGAUCAGUUCACCUUCACCCUUAGACUGCCUAGAAUAACUCCGGCUGAUGAUCCUUUGUAGGAGCCUUUGCAAAGACUUGUUACUGACCAUGGAUCAUAUGCAUUAAGACUCCCCCUCAAGCUUAGAACCGAGACUAGAAGGAGCUAAGCUUGUGAUGAUCAUAUGCAUCCCCAUGGUCUUAUAACUAUCAGUCUUUCAUGAUAGCUUUCUUCUUGUGAGUUAACUCUCUUCCUUAUCUAGGAACUAGGGUGUUUGAAUCACCAUAGAGAGACCCACAAGACACACUUCUCAUUGCAUAAUGACCCAUGCUACACUUCCUGUAGUCUUUGGACUGGAUAUGUCCAAUGGUAUUAUGCAAUGGCCAUCUCUCAUUGCAUAAUCAAUCACACUACACUUCCUGUAGAUUAUGGACUAACAUGUCCUAGUGAUGAUAUGCAAUGGCAUAAGACCUUUGUCUCUACAUUCUUGGCUGUUGGCGAGUUAAAUGUAUCACUUUCCUUGUGUACCUAACACCACCACAACUCAAUGCAAGAUCAGAUCAUCCCAUUGGGAUCAAACCAAGAUAAUUCAUCCUGUUUGAUCACCAAUGCCACAGCAAUAUAUAAACCUUGAAACAAGCCAAUCAAUCAAGGCAAGAACAAGCAGAUUUCAAUCUCUAAAAUGACAAUGCAAGCUUUACCAAUACAUUGACAAUUUAGGCUAGUUUUUAAAUGCAUCAAUUCAUGAAUGCACAAUUCUAAAGCAUUAACUAUAUGAAUGCAACAGGUUCAAUCCAUGAGACAUAUUAAAGCUAUGCACAACAGUUUCAAUCAAAACCAAUGAUGCAAGCAACUUAGACAACUUCUAAUUGAUGCUAGACUUUCAUUGAUGGAUUAAACAAAGGCAUUAGCAUCAGUACACACUCGGAUUGAACUUAGACAAUAUGAGACAUGCUUAUGUAUGCAAAACAGCUUUUCAAACAUGAUGCAAGCAGUAGAGACAUUCUACUCAAUUCUACAACACAUUCAUGAUGAUUCAAGCUAUGGCAACACACAAGACAAUGCAAUAACAAGACAUGAGAUUCUGGGACUCUAGACACCACUCACAGCACAAUAAAUAAAGACACAAGCUCUUAUUAAGGGUUAGGAGGUUUGCUUACAAACAAGAGAUCCGAGCUGAUCUCUUGAACCUCCAUGGGCACGGUUCACUUGAACUUGGCAGGUUUGAGGCUUGGAUUCAGUAUCCAACACCUCUCCUUGGUGUGCCCAUCCCUCUUGCAAUGCUCACACUUCAGGCCUCUUCUAUCCCCCUUCUUGUACACCGGCUUCAUGGACUGAGAGCUUCCUUCAGCGUGUGAAGCAAAGGUAAGUGGUUCCUUUGCUCCAAACAAUCCGUGUGAGCCCUCCUCCUUUUGGACUUGAGCACACACUUCUUCAAGGGUAGGUAGCUUCUCAGACCUCAGUAGAUGUUUGGUGAGGUCGCUGAAGGCGGGAAUGAGAGUUAGGAGCAGCCCAAACACUUUAUCUUGCUCCCUUCUUUCAUUCAACACGUCCGGCUCAACUGAUUGAGGUCUAAGCAUCUCUAGCUCAGACCAAAGGGCUCUGAACCUUCCUAGAUGAGUAGUGAACUCCUCUUCUUCUUGGGACAUGUUGUUGAUGGCCUUCUUGAUCUCAAAGACUCGGCUGAGGUUGGACAGGUUCCCAUAGAUCUUCUUAAGUGUACUCCAAAGCUCUUUAGCACUCUCACAGUAGGAGUAGGCUUCAAGAAUGGAUGGAUCCAAGGAGCUGUGGAGUAUGGAGAGGACAGUAAGGUCUUCUUGUAGCCAUCUGUCUUCAGAGACCGGUUUGGAACUUGCUUCACCUUCAGCUUGUGUGGCGACACCUUUGGAGUGGUUUGAAGCAUCUGAGAUGCAAUGGCUCCAUAAACCCUUUCCUCCUAUGGCUGUCUUGGCUAGGCGUGACCAGAGAAGGUAGUUGGGGCCUUUGAGAGUGACUGGGAUGACAAUGGCUCUUUUGGACUCCAUCUUGAGGCUGGAAAGAGCAAAACUGUCAAGGAACUUCUUCAAAGGCUGGCGCUUGGGGGCUGAGUGAACUGAGCUGAACUGGCGUGAGCUGGAGCUUGUGUUUGUUGCGGAAGUCUUCACCAGGAGUCUGAGCAACCUGGCUAAGGAACGUGUAUGGGAUAUUAGAGAGACUUAGUAACCAGAGAAUAAGAUCCAAGAACAAGUUUAUGAAGAAGAGAGACUCUCUCAGCUUAAAAGUUACAAAAUGAUCCUAAGAGGCUUAUUUAUGCCUUUACACAACUCAGAUCAUAAACCUAGAUCCUAAGGCUGUAAAUUAAAGAUAAAUGGAUGGUUAGGAUGAGAGGAAGCUGGUCUUUGAUGUUCUGGUGCUAGCUGGUCGUGGUUGGACUGAAUGGAGGGCUCAGAUUGCUUCAUUUGAAUUGGAUGGAUCAGAUGAGUCAAGGCUGUAAAGGUAAAGCACCUUUACCUUUCCAGCUCAUACCAACAGCUCACCUUAUCCAUUUGAUUCUUCCUUUGCCUCCAAGACUCCCCAACGGACACUAUAGGAAAGGAUAGAAUCAGAGUGAACCGCCCUCACAUUGCACAUCUUGAUUUGGGCUGAACCGGAUGACUUGGGCGUGUGGAGUGGCCGUACGGUUGAUGGUACGGACCUCCUGUCCGUACCACUAUCCCUAACUAUACACAAUGCCUUAUCUCCUUCUUGACUGUCCCCAAACACCUUCAUGAUUCACCCUAGACCGUACAAGGCCGUACCAUGGCCGUACCACUCGCCCUAGCUUUGCACCU
rnacentral:lncRNA from 1 species